ACCGUUAGAACUCAUACUCGUAAAAAGAGGUAAACAAAAACUAAAUAAGAACUUAAAGAAUUUCAAUGAAAUGGCCGCGACAAUCAGCGAGUUUGUUGUCUAAGUCUUUUGUUUGGCGGCUGCUUGAAGUUACCCUGUUAUUUUCUCGGCCACUGCUGCUAACUCAUCUAAAGUUCUGAGAAUAAUAUAUCCGCGACUAAGUCUGAGUAAACAAUGAAUCAUAUCUUUGAGCACAUUCAUACGCAUACUAAAGCUUUAUUUUUUACUGCCUGCCGGCAACCGCAGCUGUAAUUCAGGUAGGGUCGAAGAUUUAGAAGGAGAAUCGAGGGGCCGAGAGUUAAGACCACUGUGGGGCACUUCAAUUGGCUUUUGGCAGCCGUUGUGAAGCACGUGCUUGUCAGUCGAGAAUGGAUUUGCGGUUUAUUUUGAUACCCUCGCAGAGGAAACAAAUCAAGUGGGUAGCUCAAGUUUCUUCACUCCAGGCAAUAGUUUUUUUCAAGUCGUGAUUGCUAUUUGUAGAGCAAACAAGACUCCUAUCAAUAAUUGUACUUGAAAUUUCGGGUUUUGCAAGACUCACAAAUAUGGAAGAGAAUAAGAAAUCUGUUCUUGUCAAAUUCAUUUUCAAUGACUUUAGUGUACACAAUAUUUUUUGUCUGCCUAACUUAAGCUUCACGCUCUGUUAACUUAGGAGCGAUUUUAUUUUAAGCACCUGCUUUUAAAAUAAGUUAGAUCAAGUUUCCUUAAGCCUGGCUGAAUAGUUUGGCUUCUUCCCCACUGAAAAGAGCACUCAACUCCAAAAUUUUGUUUAAUCCUCACAACUUCAACCGCAACACAAGCUACCUGUGGUCGAAUUUAAAGCGUCACUUCUGGCCAAAUACGCCACAUUUUUGGUCGCUGUUUGGGCUUUAUUUUCUGAGCUCUUUUUUUUAUACAUUUUACUUCAUAUACCGAAUCGUAAAUAAAUGGUGGGUUGUGUUCGUUCUCUUAUUUGGUUGCUGGCAGGCCAAAGCCAUGACGACAUGGCAAUACAAACCGAUUCGUUUCUUAUAUACACAUUUACGUAUGGAUUGCCAUAUAUUCAUAUUGAAUCGGAUGGCAUCGAGAAUUAGCAUAUUUCAUUCGCUUUCAGCUUAUUUCUGUUCGCUGCUCGCUGACAUUGAAACUGAUUUUAAUGGCCCGUAACAACAAAAACAUGGCAAUGACAAUAUGUACAAGUACACGCUAAUGUGCAAGUCAAUAUUUAACGCCGAAUGAAGGCGUCGAUUUAAAUGAGUUAACCGUCUACUAGUUUUGGGCAUCUCUAUGUCAAAACGACGGUGCGUUGAGCAUAUUAAUCGAAGGAAAAGAGAACUACUGGAGCCUGUGCUAACAGUCAUUUGGGUAACUGAAAACCAGCCGAAAAAGGCGCUAGUUCAUUUAUUGUUUAAUGAGUGUGAAAAGCGGGUUGGCCGAGUACCGCAAGCCAAGCCAAGUUUCAGUUUUAACCGACACUCAGCACGCACACAUGCGGCGAAAAUUACUUUCGCAUAAGUUGCUGUUUACAUGAGUAUUUCUCUGACUUGUCUGACUUUUUGGCCAGACGCGGCGAUGGGUAAACUUAUAUCAUCGUCUCCGUCGUCAUCAUUAUGAUCAUCAUCGCCAACAAGAUGAUAAUUACCCAAGAGACUGCGUUUUGUUUGCCGUUGCUUUUACGUAUGCUUCAAGGUUUUGUGAGUUUUGCAUUAACCAAAAGCCAACUAACUCGGUCGCGCAGUCUCUGUUUUCCCAGUACUUAAAGUUUUCGAGCCAAGCUGUUAGCCGUAGGCCGUUUGUUUGCCAAGCCCAGAGAGCGAAUUUUGACGCCCACACCCCGAAGCCCGGCAUUUCAUGAUGUCAUUUUCUCCAACGGCCGCUGACUUCGAUGUAUAGUUCAACAUACCCGUUAUCAAUUAUUUGCCUGGCGAUGUGGGCAGCGACAAGGGCGGAUCUUGUCAAGUUUAUAAAGCUCAAGUGUCAGGAAAUCAUUUGACCAGUCAAAAAUCAAUAAUUUUGUGACAGCAAGCAUUUUGGUUUUAGUUUUAAGUUAACUUUGUGCAAAACAAUAGAAACAGAAGUACUUCACUUUAUACAGUAAAAGUCCACAACAAUACAGCACUUCCCAAGCUCAGAAAGUUAUUUAGCUAUACGGAAAGGAAAAAUAUAGAAAAGUUAUUGUUAAUCAAAACCAAAUUGUUGGCUUGAAGUGUCGUGAAAACUGAGGAAAAAUCCCCCGGUCGGCCAAAUCCAGACUUGGUGCCGAGCCCUAACAACUCUCACCAUGAUAGAUUUGUGCCAUUUCAAAGGAAAACUGAAAUCGAACCAAGCUAAAUCAAAAAAUGAAACCAAAACCUAGUAAACUCCUGAAGCGCUCA
rnacentral:sRNA from 1 species